UUGCAUGUAUAUGAAAGGGCUAAAACAAAUAGUAGGCUGCAGAGAGAUGCUACCGCUUGUGACUGAAGUGGAACCCUGUUGGGCCUCAGUCACCACAGAAACAGAGGAAGAGGAAGUUCUGAUAUAAGAAUAUAUCCUCAGUUCAGUCUGACACUCACACAGUUAGCAGCAAGACAACAUGGAGGUCAGAUUUCCCACCAUCAGACUCUUGCUGAAUGUUCUGUUGCUGCUGGUUAUAGUAGCUGAAAUCAGUGAUUCUCAAACACAUAAUUCAGGUUUUCCUGAAGUUGUUCCAAACAGACAGCAGUUCUUUCAAACAGAGCCUAUCACUAUCAGCUGUGAAGGGCUAAAUGGGCUGACUGGAUGGAGAGUGAUGAAAAAGAUAAAUGGAGAUGUUAGAACAUGUGCUUCAACCUGGGAAACAUCGAUUGGACCUUGCAAAAUUAUUGAUACAUAUCCAUCAACUGACAGUGGAGAAUACUGGUGUGAAAAUGGAGAAAUACAAAAAAGCAACUCUGUCAACAUCACUG